GGGGAUAUGGCGAAAAGGUAGACGCGGCGGACUCAAAAUCCGUUGGUUUCGACCGUGAGGGUUCAAUUCCCUCUAUCCCCA
rnacentral:tRNA from 1 species